UCAGAUGGAUGCCCUUAUAAGAGGCUGGCGGGGCAUUUCUGUAUGCAAAUUCAGGUGCACGAGAACGCACAUUCAGUUUAAGAAUCAAUGCACAUGUUAGAAACACUUUGGCAGUUCAAGAAUACAUUUCCAGGUGUUCAUGAAUCCAGCGGGGAUCUUUUCUUAGGUUUCUUAGAAGACACUUAAGAAAAUGUUCGACAAUGAGGUAAAUUGUUUUUAUUGUCAUUUUAUAUAAAAUGUAUACUGUAUAUCUGUGCAUGACUAAAACAAGUUUUUGUAUUGUUAGGACUGUCCAAGAAACCACUGAAAGCAGAUCCAACCCUCCGGUUUUUCAGGAACUGGCCCCAUAUGUAGAUGAGGUGAUGAAGAUCCCCAUACCUGAGGAUCUCUCUGCCAAGUUUGAAAAACCUGACAAGCUGGAAGUGAUAUAGCCGGCUACAUGUCAAGGUUCAAUCAAGGGCAGGUCUGAACCCCACGUACCGUCCUUGAGCGUAUGAAGUGUCUCUUCGUAUCCGUAGCACCAUGCAGGGGGGCAGGACCACCCUGAUUCUCCUGCCCAGAAAGCUCCAACACCAGCUUACAAAACUUCUGUAGACCAAAUACCUGUAACGGCUGAGCAAAGCUUACAUUGUAUUUCGAGAACAAUAAAUGGUGACACACAUUUA